GACGAACGCUGGCGGCGUGCUUAACACAUGCAAGUCGAACGAUGAAGCUGGAGCUUGCUCCGGUGGAUUAGUGGCGAACGGGUGAGUAACACGUGAGCAAUCUGCCCUUCACUCUGGGAUAACUGCGGGAAACUGUAGCUAAUACCGGACACGAGACCUUGGGGCAUCCCAGGGUCUGGAAAGAAUUUCGGUGAAGGAUGAGCUCGCGGCCGAUCAGCUAGUUGGUGAGGUAAGGGCUCACCAAGGCGACGACGGGUAGCCGGCCUGAGAGGGUGACCGGCCACACUGGGACUGAGACACGGCCCAGACUCCUACGGGAGGCAGCAGUGGGGAAUAUUGCACAAUGGGCGAAAGCCUGAUGCAGCAACGCCGCGUGAGGGAUGGAGGCCUUCGGGUUGUAAACCUCUUUUAGUAGGGAAGAAGCGCAAGUGACGGUACCUACAGAAAAAGCACCGGCUAACUACGUGCCAGCCGCCGCCGUAA
rnacentral:rRNA from 1 species